CGUAUAUUAAAGUUGUUGCAGUUAAAAAGCUCGUAGUUGGAUUUCGGAAGGUCCUUAGUAAUCCGCCCCUUCGGGGAGCGGGUUGCUGGCCUCCUAUGUUCCUAACGGUCCUCAUCCGCGAGGGUGGGGAAUCAACCGCUAGGAUCGUUUACUUUGAGGAAAUUAGAGUGUUCAAAGCAGGCGUAACUCGCCUCCGAAUACGUUAGCAUGGGAUAAUGGAAUACGACUUCGGUCUUGUUUCGUUGGUUUCGCUUGGCUGAAGUAAUGAUUGAUAGGGACAGUUGGGGGCAUUAGUAUUUAGUUGUCAGAGGUGAAAUUCUAGGAUUUACUAAAGACUGACCAAUGCGAAAGCAUUUGCCAAGGAUGUUUUCAUUAAUCAAGAACGAAAGUAGGGGGAUCGAAGACGAUCAGAUACCGUCGUAGUCUCUACCGUAAACUAUGCCGACCAGGGAUCCGGAGAGUUUGCAUGGAUGACUCCCCGGGCACCUUGUGAGAAAUCAUAAGUGUUUGGGUUUUGGGGGGAGUAUGGUCGCAAGGC
rnacentral:rRNA from 1 species